CAUAGCGACUAUCGUGGCAUAUCAAUAAGCGGAGGAAAAGAAACUAACAAGGAUUCCCUUAGUAACGGCGAGUGAAGCGGGAAGGGCUCAAAUUUGAAAUCUUCAAGGUUCUACCUUGACGAAUUGUAGUUUAUAGAAGUGUUUUCUGUUAGUAGAGUGGCAAAAGUUCUUUGGAAUAGGACAUCAUAGAGGGUGAGAAUCCCGUAUUUGACUAUUCUUUCUAGCUUUGUGAUACACUUUCAAAGAGUCGGAUUGUUUGGGAAUGCAGUCCAAAAUGGGUGGUAAAUUUCAUCUAAAGCUAAAUAUUGGCGAGAGACCGAUAGCGAACAAGUACCGUGAGGGAAAGAUGAAAAGAACUUUGAAAAGAGAGUUAAACAGUACGUGAAAUUGUCAAAAGGGAAGCGUUUGACACCAGUGUUGUUUUUCCGAAAAUCAAUUACGAAUGUUUUGUUUUUGAGAAGUUAUGACUUCAUCGGCUUGCUUCUUUCUUUACGAAACUUUCUUAAUGCACUUUUCGGUUAACAAGUCAACAUCAAUUUCUUUUGUUGUAAAAGGGUAUGAGGAAGGUGGCUUUCUUUUCGGAGAAAGUGUUUAUAGCCUUGUAGCCUCUGCAAUCGGAGAGAUUGAGGUCUGCAGCAUAGAUCCUUCGGGGUUAGAUACAGUUUGUGCUAAGUUAUAGCUUUUCAUAGACAACUUGUUGACUAUGUUAGUCUUGUAGCUUACUCGCUGAUGCUAUUUUACCUACGCUUAGGAUGUUGAUAUGCAUGACUGAUAU
rnacentral:rRNA from 1 species